rnacentral:rRNA from 1 species
AGCGAACGCUGGCGGCAGGCCUAAUACAUGCAAGUCGAACGGUCUCUUCGGAGGCAGUGGCGGACGGGUGAGUAACGCGUGGGAACGUGCCCUUUGGUACGGAACAACUGAGGGAAACUUCAGCUAAUACCGUAUGUGCCCUUCGGGGAAGAUUUAUCGCCAUUGGAGCGGCCCGCGUUGGAUUAGCUAGUUGGUGGGGUAAGUGGCCCACCAAGGCGACGAUCCAUAGCUGGUCUGAGAGGAUGAUCAGCCACACUGGGACUGAGACACGGCCCAGACUCCUACGGGAGGCAGCAGUAGGGAAUCUUGCGCAAUGGGCGAGAGCCUGACGCAGCCAUGCCGCGUGAAUGAUGAAGGUCUUAGGAUUGUAAAAUUCUUUCACCGGGGACGAUAAUGACGGUACCCGGAGAAGAAGCCCCGGCUAACUUCGUG